UACGUAGGGCGCAAGCGUUGUCCGGAAUUAUUGGGCGUAAAGAGCUCGUAGGCGGUCUGUUGCGUCCGCUGUGAAAACCCAGGGCUUAACCCUGGGCUUGCAGUGGAUACGGGCAGACUAGAGGCAGGUAGGGGAGAAUGGAAUUCCCGGUGUAGCGGUGAAAUGCGCAGAUAUCAGGAGGAACACCGGUGGCGAAGGCGGUUCUCUGGGCCUGACCUGACGCUGAGGAGCGAAAGCGUGGGGAGCGAACAGG
rnacentral:rRNA from 1 species